rnacentral:tRNA from 1 species
CCCGGGUUCGCCUAACGGUAGGGCAUCUGACUGUAGAUCAGGGGCGCGGUAGCGCAUUGGGGGUUCAAGUCCCUCACCCGGGACCA